rnacentral:misc_RNA from 1 species
UUUCCGUAGGUGAACCUGCGGAAGGAUCAUUAUUGAAUGAAACACUUCUGGCUUUAUGCUGUUGUGCUGGCCCUUUGGGCAAUGUGCACACGGCUCUGGUCACUUGUUUCUUCUGUCCCACCUGUGCACUGCCUGUAGACACGCUGUGUCUAUGAUAUUUGUUAACACACAACAAUGUUAGUUGGCAUGUUAUAUAUAAUAAUAAAAUAUACAACUUUCAACAACGGAUCUCUUGGCUCUC